rnacentral:tRNA from 1 species
GGGCGAUUAGCUCAGUUGGUAGAGCAGCUGACUCUUAAUCAGCGGGUCGAAGGUUCGAGCCCUUCAUCGCCUA